rnacentral:lncRNA from 1 species
GCAAAUAUGCACAUCCCAUAGCAUAGAUUAAAAGUCAUAGAACAACAAAGUCAAACACAUCAUAAGUAACGUUCAAGUGCUUCAAAAGAUAAGUGGCAUAGUUACACAAAAUACAAUAGCCUUAGAACAAGCACCACCCCAACUAUUCUGGACAAAAACUGCUAAAGUAGAAUAAACUACUAGUUUAGUGAUUGGCAGAUCCAGAAGUUUCAACUACUUCAGUAGGGUCAUCUUUAUCUUCAGCACUAGGAGUUGCAUUCUCCUGUCACCCGUCAAAUACCUUGCCAUCUACUGCUUGUUCAACCAAGGUCACACAUUCAGCCAAUAUUCCCUCAGUUCGAUCCCUUACUUCUUGUACUACCCUAGUAAGCCGAUGAUUAGUCUCUUGAAACUACUUACAAAGAGCCUCUACUCUGUUUCGCUCCUCAAGUACAUCCGUCUCCAGUUCAUGAAUCCUAGCAGUCUGGGCGUCAACAGCCCUCUCAGUUCUCGAUUAUCCUCUUGGACUAUUCCAUUCGCAUUUGAUAACUGCCUACACUCAUCGUAUAAUACUAGCACCACGUUGUCAGGGUACAAGUAAGUCCUCCAACAAUCACAUGAAGGCCUAGUUCGACGAACUGGAUUCCACAUCCAAAGAGCGCCCCCGGACCUCUUUCGAUAACGGAUCACUGGAAGACGUCUCGAAGAUGGCUCAUUUCCACCAUUUCCUUCCAUGACCUACAAUUACAAUUAAAAGUUUAGACAACUCAAAUAUACUCAAUAAACUAGAUCCCAAUGCUUCAUACUAUCACGUAUGCUUUUUACAAGAUCAGGACUCCUAAUUGUCCAACUAAUUCAAACAUAGGUUCUGAUACCACCUGUGACGACCCCACUUCUCCUUAGGGUGAACCCUAGAGUUUCGGCGGGCCACUUGCCUAGCUCUCGCUAGGAUUCGAUACAUGUCAAGAUUAUAAUUUAGAACUAAUCAACUAAUAAGAAAAUUAAUAUAAAGAAAAGUCGCUUCCUUCAAUAGUCAUUCAAGUCGACAUCAUAAUAUUGUCAAAAGUUACAUCAAAUUUUUCCAAAAUACAACCACCAAAAGUCGAUUAAUUUAUUUAUAUCCGUAAUUAAACCAAAAUACAAUCAAAAUCAGCUUCUCCAAAAUCUAAUGUGGUAGCCGAUACUUUAAUUCAUCAAGUGCAAGUAACAGGAUUGAUGAUCAAAAAAUUACACUUGUUGAAAGAGGUCACGAUACCGUUUGGGUGAUAGUAGAUAGAUUGACCAAAUCUGCUCAUUUUCUGCCGAUUAAUAUGAAGUACCUACUAGAGAAGCUAGCUAAGCUACAUUUGGACGAGAUUAUAAGGGUACAUGGGAUACCAAUAAGUAUUGUAUCUAACCGAGACCCUCGGUUUGUUUCUCGGUUCUGGCAGAAGAUGCAAGAAAUGCUAGGAACUAAAUUUAGUUUUAGCACUACCUACCACCCACAGACUGAUGGACAGUCAGAGAGGAUAAUUCAGACCCUUGAGGACAUGUUGAGAUCAUGUAUUUUGGAUUUUGGAGAAAGUUGGAGUAAGUACUUGACACUGGUGGAAUUUGCUUAGCUAAGGUUCCAAGAGACCAUGGUACGACACACACUUUUGCAAACCCUACAUUCAAGAGUGGGAUAGACGUGAGGCCAAUUAAAUUACCCUAUGACUUGGAAGUUGAAAUGCCUAUCGGGGAUCAAAGUUUAAUUGCUAAUUGGGUAAUAGAAAUUGUGAAAUAUGGGUUGGAGAGUGUAAGUUGUUGAUUGAUUUGAUAAACCUAGCUAUUAAGGGGUAUGAUGUUAUCCCAUGUGUGAAUUUCGAGGACGAAAAAAGGAUGUGAAGACCCGAAUUUUGCUUACUUUUAUCUUAUUUUAUUGGCUUAUUUAAUUAUUUAUUCAACCGUUUACUCCGAAUAAUUUAUUUCAACCAUUUUAAAUCCAUUUACAUGGAACAAUGCCUCAUUUAUAUUUUUAAAAUGUCUCACUAGUAAAUUUAAUUUUUCUACAGCUCGUUUAGUACGGAAUAGGGAACACACGUUUUUCAAGGCAAUGUUUAGUCCAAGAGUGCAAUGAUCAUGGAGAAUUAAUUUUAGACUAAUAAGUAUGAGUAAUUGUAGUGUUAGAGGAAUUACCUUAGAGGAUUAGUGUAUAAGUGUACCAAACAAGAGAGAAGUACAAUACACUAUUUAGCUACUAUUAAGAGUUGACUUUUUGCAACUUUAAGUUAGCUUGUCCAACACCUUUCUUCCACAAAUUUCAAAACCACAAACACUCCUUCACCUCUCUCUCUUUUCGGCCGAGCAAGGGAAACAAAAUGGGGGAAAGAAAACUUCAUCUCUUACACUCCAAUCUUGCUUGUUCUUCGUCAUCCAACUCACAAUUCCAUGGGUUUUUGCUCCAACUAGAAGAAAGGUGAAAGCUUGAGAUGUUGCUUGGUGAAAUAUUGAAGGAAACUCUCACUACCAACUAGGGUUUAGUUGCUUUGGAAAUUAACCCCUUCACCUCUUUUAAUCUUUCAAUUUAUACAAAGUUUAGUGGAUGGAUUUCAUGGGUUUGAAGCCCUAAUCAAGAUUCUAGACUAGUGGACUUGAGGAAACUUUUAUCUUGCUUUAUAUUCUAAGCUAGUGGCCUUGAGGUGACCUAUGAGGUAGCUAACUUGAGGAUAUUUCUUGAUUGUUGUUAUUUAUGUGAAUUAUAACUUGAUAUUGUCUUGGUAGUGGAGUGAAAGUUGGAAGAAAACCAAGAGAGGUGCUGGCUGAAAUUUCUGUUUGGUUGCCUUGCUUGGAUUUCAAAUUUUUGUUGAUUAUUUGGCUGCUAAACUGAUUGAUAUAUGUUGUAUUAUGUGUGUAGAAAGUGUUUUUCGAAAAUCAUUUCAAUUGGCUACACAAAACUUGAGUUUUGGUGAAAGGAAGAAAUCUGGAAAAUGGUCACCAGGACAGUGGACAGGGGUACUUUGUCUGAACAUAACUCUUUGUACAAAAGUCAAAAUUGAGUGUCAUUUGGGCAUUCGAAACUAGACAUUUAGAGUUUUCAAACGGUAUAAGAAUUCCCUGCUAGUUCGCUUUGAGUAAACCAUAGCGAAUCGGCAAAGUGGACUGACCUGUUUUGCCUGUCUAUCCGAGAGCAACUGGGAAGCUGCAUCUUGUGGCUCGAUUUUAUCUCACUUGUGAAAGGAUUUUAAAAAUGAUGUUUUCUGAUGAAUUGUAGCAUUUUGAAUCUAUUUUCUAACUCCAUAAACCAUUCUCAAUUUGGACUUGUGUAGAGUUAGAUAUGGUCUGAUUUCAAAACUAUGUUGAAGUUUGGUGACUGGAAAUCCCCUGAUUUCAAACUAUUAUAUCUUGUUGCUCAAAACUCCAAAUUUAAUUCUGAUUAUUGUGUUUGAAACUUGAUUUGGAACUCUUGCUGUAUUAUAAAUUUCAGAGGCUGAUUCACUUUUUGUGAAUUUUACCGAAUUUUCAAACAUUGCUGAAAAACCAAGACUGGUUAUGUCCUGUCUUCAUGAACAGCAACUUUGAGCUGAAAUUCGAAUGGUUUCUGGUUAGAAUCUUGGAAAAGUGUUUUUAGGGAAGUUUUAGUAAUUUGAAUCUAGUUUCUAAGGUAUAAAGAUUUCCAUUUUUGGACUUACCAAACUCAAGAUCUGAUUUUCCAAGUAUGGUCGCGCAAAGCUGAAAAUUCCGGAUUCCUUAAGAGAUGAACUUUUAAAGAACACCCAACUCCCUUUAGAUAUUGAUAGACCGUUUUAAACUUGAUUUCAUAGAUGAUACAAGUUUCCCUUGUGACUUUAAAUUCUCAUUUUUGAAUCUCGAUUUUCGAGGGAUUUAAAGCUCUUGUAAGCCAUUGUCUUAAGUUUUAAGCGAGUGCACUUUCUUCCUUGAAUGAUAAGUGGUUGUGAGUAUAUGUGAGUGAUGGUUGAUCACUAUUUCUUCAGGCGCUCAAGAGGAUUUUGAAGGGAAUCUCGGAGCGGACAACUAAAGACUUUAUUUGCUCACUUACUUUUGACUUGGUGAGUGUCAAGUGCAUGACUUGUUGCAUAAUACUUGAAAUACUUCUAGUUGAAUAUGUGAAUUGGACUUGUCGAGACGAGUGUGUACUUUAUCGCACUUGUUCUCUUUUACUUGAUUAGAUAAUUGACUUGCUCAUACUUGAAAUUUUACUUGUGUUUGACUAGAUGUCGAUUGGAGAGCUAUCUCAUCGACUUAUACGUGUACUCGUAGGGGACACCCAAACUCAUUAGCUAACUUUGUGAAUCGAGCCGGCAUGGGCUUGAUCAAGGAGUUUGGUGAACCAUGAGAAAUCAUAAACUUGAUCUUUUGAGAUCUUGUUUGGUAUACUCGCGUAGUAUUGCCACGAUAUACUCGAGUAAUAUCAAAACCUUUGACGUUCGGCCCGGUUAGGAGGUGUAACGGUGGACGGAAUUUGGUGAAAGUGGAGUCGACGGGUUUGGUACUUGCUCGGUUGAUGGAGAGUCAACGUGAGAUAUUUGGAUCAAGACCUUGACCAAACUGCGUGGAUUUAGCUCCUGAGAGCUCCAGUAUCCUUAAUUGUUUCUGCUUACUUUUCCUACUUGAAAUGUUAAUUACUUGAAACUUCUAGCUUUACUAUUAUUGUCUCGAUUUUCUUUCAUGCUCUCUUCUACUUGCUCUAUUACAUGCUUGCAUGAUUUUCUUGGCCUCACUAAGCGUUAACUCACCCCAUUAGUCUGUUUUUCUUAACAGGAGCUCGGAAUGAAAAGAAUUUUUGGGGAAACUGACUUGAUUACCUUUUGAUUAGAGUUUUGGAUGUAAUUGAUUAGUCGACUUAUGGUGGUUGUAUAUUUUUGGGGAUUUGAUGUACUUUUGGAAAUUUCGUGAUGUAAGAUUUGAAUAUUUAGUUAAGGAAGCGACUUUUCCUUUCUUGAUAUUGACUUUUAUUAUUGGUUAGAUACCCUUAAGUUUAAAAUUGAUUCGUAUUGAGCCCUCGCGAGAGUUAGGCAGGUGGCCCGCCGAUACCCUAGGAUUCGCCCUUAGGAGAAGUGGGUUCGUCACACAAUUUUCAAGUGUUGACACUCCGUCAACCGAGCAAGUAACAAGUCCGUAGAACCCCAAUUUUUCCGUCCACCGUUACACCCCCUGCCGAGCCCGCACGUCAAACAAGAUGUGAUAUUAUUCGAGUAUAUCCAAACAAGUCAAGUACACGAGCCCAAGGUUCACCAAACUCCUCAACCAAGCCCUUGCCGACUUUAGUUGAAUGGCUAACCAUUGGAUUUUGGGGCCCACAAGUUCAAGUAUAAGUCGAUGAGAUUGCUCUCAAAUCGGCGCCAAGUCAAGCACAAGCACAAGUAUAAUUGUCAAGUAUGAACAAGUCAAUUAUCAAGUCAAGCAACAGAGGACGAGUGAGAUAAAGUACACAUUCGUCUCGACAAGUAAUUCACAUAAUCAACAAGAAGCGAUCCAAGUAUUAUGCAACAAGUCAUGCACUUGACACUCACCAAAUCCAAAAGCAAGCGAGCAAGUAAGUCCUUUAAUUGUCCGCACUGGGAUUCCUUUCGAAACCUUCUUGAACACCUAAGGAAAUAUCAACCAGCCAUCACUAAAUGCAAACCACUUUUAGACCAAUUUUUCCCCUUAAUCCAUCACUCACGUAUACACUAAGUCGCUUAGCAUACAAGAGAGAAAAUUCAUUUGUUUAGGCAACCAAGGAAACGUAUCAAGAGAGGCUUAAAUCAAAAUGAAGGUCUAAAGUUACAAGAAACCUUGUAUCCAUCCAUGAAAUCAAACUUAAAAUGGAUUAACAAUCUCAAAGGAAAGUUGGAAGUUCUUAAGAAGGGCAUUUUUUUGAAACUAGAAAAUUCCAACAUUGUGAGACAAUACUUGAAAAAUCACAUCUUGAGUUUCGUAAGUCCAAAAAUUGGAAACUUUACACUGUUGGAAACUAGAUUCAAUGUAAUAAAACUCUUUAGAAGACAUUUUUUCCAGAUUCAAAUCAGAAAUCAUUCAAAUAUCAGCUCCAACUUGCUGCUUCAUUAAAACAGGGCAAAACAGUCUCUAUUUUUCAGUGAAAUUUGAAAUUUUAGCAAAAUUCAUAGGAACCGAAUUAGCCUCUGAAAUUCAUAACACUUAAAGAACUUCAUGUCUAGUUUCAACCACAAUAAGCAGAAUAAAAUUUGGAAUUCGCUACACCAAGUUACAACAGUUUUACGAAAACUAGUUUUUGAAACCUGAUCCACGGAUUUCCAGCCUUAGAGCAUCAACACAGUUUGGAAAUCAAGGCAUAACUAGGGCUACACAAGGCCAAAUUUAGUGUGGUUUACGGUGUUGAAAACUACAUUCAAAGUACUAAAAAUCAUCAAAAAAAAUUGUGUUCAAAUUCAUUUCACAAGAGGAGUGAAAAUGAGCUACAAGAUGCAGCUGUACAAGUCUCACGGGUAAACAGUAAGAGCAAAUCAGUCCACUUUGCUGGUUCACUACGACUCACAAAAAACGAAUUAGUAGGGAAAAUUUUAUACCGUUGAAAGCUCUCGGAGUCUGGUUUCAAAUUCUGUAAACGACACUUGAUUUUGACUCCUGAACAAAAAUUUAUAUUCUAUUAAGUGUGGACAAGCAGACUUCCCUGAUUAAAAUUCCAGAUUUGGUUUCUUCUCUCUUUAGCCUAUCUUUCACCCACUCAAAUGAAAUGAUUUUUGAGAAAUAAUUUUUACACAUACAAUCCAACAUAUAAAAGCAUUUUUGCAGUAGUUUUAGCAACAAAUUUUGAAAUUUAACCAAGGGAAAUAAAUCAGUAAAAUUCGGACAACAUCUCCUCUCAUCCUCUUCACAUUUUUCUCUCCAACUUUCAAGCCAAAAAUCAAGUUAGAAAUCACAAAAUAACAACCAAACAAGUAAGAAUCCUCAAGUCCACUACCUAAAAGUCCAUCUCAAGGCCACUACCUAAGAGUAAAUCAGGAAAACAAAGAUUUCCUCAAGUCAUCUAGCUUAGCUUUGGUUAGAGUUUCAAAUACCCUUGCAUAACAACCAAAAACCACUACUAACUCUUGCAUAAAACUAAAGAUCAAGGGAAGUGAAACUUGUUACCUCUCCAAAGCUUCUUGAACCCUAGUUAGAGCCAAGAUUUGCAUCACCAAACCACCAAGAAAUUACCACAAGGUAAGAGCUUUCUUCUAGCUAGAUCAACUUCCAAAAGGUUGAGGGUUUUGUAUGAAUUCUUGGAGCAAGUUUUGUGGAUGAAGUUGGAGUUUUUCUCCUCUUCUUUUGGAGCUUGGAAGUUCGGCCAAAUGAGAGAGAAAAAGGAGAAAAGAUGAAGCUUGAAUUGUGAUGUGAAGGUGAGAAGAAAGCUAGCUUUUUGGUGGGUAAAAGGUCAACUAGGAAUAGUAGCUCGAAUAGUGCCAUGCACUACUAGUUUCCUUCUUGUUUGCUACACUCAAAUACUAAUCUUCCAUGGUAGUUUCUCUUACACCACUAAUACUCAUUCUUACUAGUCCAAGAUAAAUUCUCCAAAUCCCCAAUUAGUCAUGCCGGUGCGACUUUUGAAAAAUUUUGACACGUAAACGGUAAAAAUACAAUUUAAGUAAAAUUCAUGCUAAAAUGAUAAAAUUAAAUAACACCAACGCAAAUAAUUUUAAAAUAAGUGAAAUUAAGAAUAAAAGUAUGAGUCCUCACACCACACGUGAUUUUUCACAAGUAUACGAGUCGUGAUUGAAUAUAAAGUAUUAAGGGUCGAACCCACAAAAAAGAUUGUUAAUUACUGAUGGUUUUCAAACUUGUUUCUUAUUUAGACUAUCAUAAGUGCAACAAAUUAAAUCUACACUAUAAAUAUGAGAUGAAAGCAAUAAAAAUAACAAUAGAAAGCUCCUAGAGGUAUGAAAUUUUGAAGUACUUUUGCAAAUGAAAUUAUCGGUUAAUUGAAUGUUAUUAUCUUCGUUAGUUAUGGCAUAAUUUCCUAAUGUAUGCGAAACCUACUCUCGUAGUGAAUCAACUGUCGCGCCCCAUUUUUUUUAUAAGAAAAAUAAAUUUUUAAUUCAAUUUUAAAUAAAUGAUUUUUGAUUUGUAAAGAAUAAAUAAAGAAAAAGGGCCUAAAUGGGGUUUGAAAGUGCGACGAUUUGGGCCCAAAUUUUAGUUUAAAAAGGGCUUUUGAACAAAAAUCGGAGUUGCCACUUGGUAUAGAAUUAAGGUGUACCAAGUCAUCUAAAAAGAAUUUUCAGAUAAAAUUAUGGAAAACCCUUUUUAAACGACUCCUAAGUUUACGAAAAUCAGAGAAAGUGUUCGGGAGUCACAUUUGAAGAAAGGGAAGGCAAGGAUAAAAAUCCGAGGCACCCUUUCGACCUAGCCAAGGCUAGUUGUGUGAUUUAGCCAAAGAUUUUCUUAUUUUAACCUAAAGAUUUAUCACAUUUGGAUAUACUAUAUGAAUGCAAACCCUGGACCUAGGAGGGUGUCGGGAGGUUGAAAUGUAUCUUCAAACCUUACUUGGUACCAAUCACAUUAAUUGUGACGCCCAAUAAAGACUCUUCGAAGAAGUCACGAAUAACGUAAAAAUAUGAGACUCUAAGAAAAGAAAAGAAAAAUAAUAAAAAUAAUCAUAAUGAUACAAAUAUACAUGUCCUAAAGGAAUGCAUCAUGUCGGGUACGGGGGACUAAUGUUCGUGACUCAAUUUUCCCUUUAACAGAGGAAAUAUGAGCGUGCUAAGGGUAGAAAGCCAAACUCGUCCAUAUCCCAUACUCAAGGGGUACUUUCCUAAUCUAUCAAGCAAAUGUACUAACCUAUCUCUAAUUUUCCCUAUAUGAAAUGCAAAUCUAAUGUCAUGUCUCAUGCAUAGGAUUAUAUAAAGGAAAAUAUAAAAAUAGGGGAUAGGAGGGAAUAUGGGAUAGGGGAUAUACAUAAGGGGAAUGUGGGAUAAGGGAUGUGUGUAUAAGGGGAACAUGCAAAAAAUGAUAAAAGACCCUAGAAAGUAAAAUAUGCAUGAGAUGAAGUGAGUUUAUCACACAAUCAUGAUCUAACGCUCGAAGGGCUCCUAAGGGUCUAGCAUUGGACUAGCCCAUAUUUCUAUUUUCUCACUAACGUUGGACUAGUGAGAAGUCGAACAAAGGAACCGCAACUAGUAUUGGACUAGUGUGGUAUCGAGAAAUGAAUCACAACUAGCGUUGGACUAAUGUGAUAACGUCACACAUUAAACAUAACUAACUAAUCAUGUGAAAUAUAAUAAAAGAAUGUAAACACAUAAUAUCACAUAAACACAUAAUCAUGAUAUCUAGAUGCAAGGCCCUAAGAAAGCGGUAACACAUAGCACAUAAGCAUGUAAAUCACACAAAGCAAAUAAGCCCAAACUAUUACAUUUGAGGGGGGCCUACUACAAUCUAAAAGGGAAAAUAAAAUAAAUACCUAACUAUUACAAUUGUGGCAUUUAAUUGCCUUCCCAAAUAAUUACAAAUUAAAUUUAAAUAAAUAUACAAAAAUUAAAACAAAUAAAUAAAUAAAUAAAAUGAACACAUUCAAAAGGCAUGCAAUUAAGCACAUAAAGUCACAUAGGGACACAUAAGGUCAAAUAAAUUAGAAAAUAAGGGGUAGAGUGUACCUCCCUUGAGUUGAUGUUCUAAUGGGACGAGUUACUUAUUUACCCUCCAAAAUAAUAAAAAGGGGUCAAGGUAUCAUUUUAAUUAACAAUUAAUUAUAUGAAACGAAAAUUAAACACACAAAUGAAAAUUAAACAUGAAAUGAAAAUUAAACACAAAAUGAAAUCACUUCACGUAUUUUAUAAAAGAAAUCAUCUAUAUGCAAGAAAUUAGAGCGAAAAAGAACCUAAUUAAAAUAAUUAAUAAUUUCUAAGAUGAGGUACUAAAAUUAGUGACUCAAAAUGGAAUCUACCAAAAUCAAAUGCUAGACUUUACAAAAGAGGAUGUAAGGCCCAAAGACAACCUAAGAGGGGGGGUGAAUUAGGUUGAUUAAAAUCUUAAUCAAAUUUAUGCAAUUUUUGCUUAAUAAAAUUUACCUUCUUUUCUAAUAAUGAUCAAUCAAGUAGAUUAGAAGAAGAGAGCAAUAUUGAUUCGAAAAACAAGUAUAGAUAAGCAAUGAGAGUUUUAUUAAACAAAAAGAAUAAGAUAGAAUAUCAAACCGAUUGUCUACCAAGCUUUCCUCAAACUUGAAGACC